rnacentral:rRNA from 1 species
GACGUAGGGCGCGAGCGUUGUCCGGAUUUAUUGGGCGUAAAGAGCUCGUAGGCGGCUCGUUGCGUCGGCUGUGAAAACCCGCAGCUCAACUGUGGGCUUGCAGCUGAUACGGGCGGGCUGGGAUUCGGUAGGGGAGACUGGAAUUCCUGGUGUAGCGGUGGAAAUGCGCAGAUAUCAGGAGGAACACCCGGUGGCGAAGGCGGGGUCUCUGGGGC